GAUGAACGCUGGCGGCGUGCCUAAUACAUGCAAGUCGAGCGAACAGACGAGGAGCUUGCUCCUCUGACGUUAGCGGCGGACGGGUGAGUAACACGUGGAUAACCUACCUAUAAGACUGGGAUAACUUCGGGAAACCGGAGCUAAUACCGGAUAAUAUAUUGAACCGCAUGGUUCAAUAGUGAAAGACGGUUUUGCUGUCACUUAUAGAUGGAUCCGCGCCGCAUUAGCUAGUUGGUAAGGUAACGGCUUACCAAGGCAACGAUGCGUAGCCGACCUGAGAGGGUGAUCGGCCACACUGGAACUGAGACACGGUCCAGACUCCGACGGGAGGCAGCAGUGGGGAAUCUUCCGCAAUGGGCGAAAGCCUGACGGAGCAACGCCGCGUGAGUGAUGAAGGUCUUCGGAUCGUAAAACUCUGUUAUUAGGGAAGAACAAAUGUGUAAGUAACUAUGCACGUCUUGACGGUACCUAAUCAGAAAGCCACGGCUAACUACGUG
rnacentral:rRNA from 1 species